CUAUUUCUUUUGCUUCAGUUCAACAUUAUUUUCGAAUAGUUCCACUUUAUAAUGGUGUGUUAUAAUAGUCAUAAUAAUAAUAUAAGCAAACAGGUUUACAUGGCACUCGAACAUGGUCUUUUCAACAAGUAUGUAAAGGUAAGUUUGUACUUCAAAAAGGUCUGUUUUUAACCUGACAAGAAUGCUGUCCAAAAUUAACUAAAACUCAAUCUUUGUGACCUUCAAUGAAAUUUCAUAUGUUGAAUCAACAACCUACUACUGUAUAUAUAUUUUGAUGUUUGUGUUUGGUUUGAUUUGAUGUUAAUGAUACUAGAAAAUUAUGAAAAUGCAAUAUAAUAUUUUUGUUGAGAGAGAUUCUAAAGAUUGUAUGGAACUGAUUGUUCCUUGUGAGUUGUGAGGACUUGAGCAAAACUGUUUUUGUCUACUUUUGAGUUAACAAAGUAUACCCAAAACUUAUUUUCUGUUUUUAUUAUGCGAAACAAUAAGUUCUUUUCCAAUUGAAAAUUUUCUUUUAGAUUUGACCAAUAUGAAUAAAAGUGUAAAAAAAUAAGAAAAUAUUUUAUGAACAUUUGAAAGUUUGAUUAAUUUAAAGCAUAUUUUGUGUGUUUAUGUACAUGGUCAUGGAUAUGGUUGUUACAUAUUUGCAUCAAAAAUAUUUCCUGCAGUGUUUUUUUAAAUAUAUAAAUAAUAUAAAAACAGGACAACUUUUCCCUAAAUGAAAUUUAGGAGAUGUUUAUUUGUAAAAUAAUGGAUCAAUGUGUAUCAUUUUAUUGUAUUUAUCGAGGACGAGAAAUGUAUCAUUUUAAGUAAAGCAAAUUGAAACCGAAUUUUUGUUCCAAAAAUGAAUCAGAAUUGGAGAGAUAACAUUCGUUUAAAAUUUUGUUGAACUGCAUUUUCAUUACUUGAAUUAUUGUAACAUUAUAUAUAAUCAAUUCAAAGUUGUCAGGUUAAAAACGACGCUCAAAUAUAUAUGGCUCUGAAAGACCGCAGGAUAAUUUCAAAUUCUUAAAUAUUUCUUGAACGAAAUGUUCUUUGCACUUGAAAGAAAUGUUCUUAUAUAUAUGUUCAAUUGAGUAUGGAACCAAUGAUUUAAUCGUAAUGUUUCGAUGUUUAAAAAUAUCAUUUCUGAGUUUAACGAAGUAUGCUGUCAAUGCAUUGUCAAAAUGUUAAGGUACUUUCAGGAAAUUAAUUUGCUUCGAGCAAUGCCAAUGGCAAUGGAAUUUGUUGUCAACCACAAUAGACCUUAUGCGGCAUAAUGACGUCACAAGGCUUGAUGCCUGCGAGGAAUGCUGCAGGUCUUAAUAGUCAUCGCCCUGGAAAAUUUCGAUAGUGGUCAUUUUGAAUUGUUUAAUCUUACUGGGCGAUGACUACUAAGACCAGCGUUCCUCGCGGGCAUCAAGCCUUUUGAUGUCAUUAUGCAUAUGGUCUAUUUCUUGCCAACCACUUGACAACUGAUCUCACAUUACAUCGAAUGGACUUCUCUUAGCAUCAAAACAUCGCGAUAAAAUCAUUAUUUUCCAUACUCAAGUGAACAUUUUGGUCACUGUACCAAAAACAGUUUUAUUCAAAAAAGUAAAAGCAUGUUCGAUUUACUUCGUCUUUGAGCCAUAUAUUUUCUUUGUAAAACAACCUGGUGUUACGCUUUUGAUUUCUCCGUCACAGUUGUUUUACAAUAUUUAUUUUGAAGUAUAAACAUUUAUCUUGAAAAGACCAGGUUCUCUUGUUUCCUCAAGAAUUAACUUUUUUAAUGUUAAUUCGCGGGCAAACAAGUCUUUUAAUGUUGUGUUUUCACUUGUGGUUAUUCACUUGUGAUGAACACAAUGUUAAUUGUUCUCUUUGUGCCAUGUUCUGUUUUCUUCUAUUGUUAUUUAAAUAAGUGUGCAGUGGUUGUUCUCUUUUUAUUGUUAUUCAAUUUGUAAUUACAAUUCUUUUCAAUAAAUUGUUCAUUAAUUAUACAAGAGACUCCUUUUUAAUUAAAAAUUCAAUUCCCAUGGGAAUUGAAAAAAAAAAAUAAAAAAAAUCCCCCUACCCCGGCCGGCUCCCCAAGUGCCACCUCUACUUCAAGCAGAAGUACUUCUACUAUAUAGU